rnacentral:rRNA from 1 species
AGUCGAGCGAGGCGUCCCGCAAGGGACAGUCGAGCGGCGAACGGGUGAGUAACGCGUGGAUAACCUGCCCUGAGGUGUGGAACAACCAGGGGAAACUCUGGCUAAUACCGCAUGAUACCGAGAGGUCAAAGGGGGCUCGCAAGGGCUCUCGCCACAGGAGGGGUCCGCGUCCGAUUAGCUAGUUGGUAGGGUAAUGGCCUACCAAGGCGACGAUCGGUAGCCGGCCUGAGAGGGUGAUCGGCCACACUGGAACUGAGACACGGUCCAGGCUCCUACGGGAGGCAGCAGUGGGGAAUUUUGCGCAAUGGGCUAACGCCUGACGCAGCAACGCCGCGUGGAGGAUGAAGGUCUUUGGAUUGUAAACUCCUGUCAGCAGGGAAAAAGCAACCGGCGCUCAUACCGCCGGGAGUUGAUUGUACCUGCAGAGGAAGCCCCGGCUAACUCUGUGCCAGCAGCCGCGGUAAUACAGAGGGGGCAAGCGUUAUUCGGAAUUAUUGGGCGUAAAGGGCGCGUAGGCGGCCUGGCAAGUGGAAGGUGAAAUCCCUCGGCUUAACCGAGGAACUGCCUUCCAGACUGCUUGGCUUGAGACCAGGAGAGGUGAGUGGAAUUCCCAGUGUAGCGGUGAAAUGCGUAGAUAUUGGGAGGAACACCAGUGGCGAAGGCGGCUCACUGGACUGGUACUGACGCUGAGGCGCGAAAGCGUGGGGAGCAAACGGGAUUAGAUACCCCGGUAGUCCACGCCGUAAACGAUGAGUGCUUGGUGUAGCGGGUAUCGACCCCUGCUGUGCCGAAAUCAACACAUUAAGCACUCCGCCU